GUACUCCUAUGGCUCCCUCCUUUAAGCACAAGGAUACGAUUCUUUAGAAAGAAGGAAAUAGUCUCAAACAUGUUCUGAUUUGUAACAGAAAAGAAUAACAUACUUUUUAUCUACAGUGAUUAUAUGGGCCUUUGAGGUUCAUGCCCCUUUCAGGGAUGAGGUGAUGUUGAAGCCAUUUCUAGCUAUCAAUGACCUGACAAAAUCUUAUUUCAACUUUGCCUUUCAAUUUCUCAGCUUCUUCACAUGGUCCUUCCAGUAUAAUCCAUACAGCCAAGAACCCUAAAAGUUAUAAUCUUACCCUUAUAAUUCUUUACUCCUUGGCCAUGUUCCCCAUUUCCAGCUAAGCUGAUAUUCACACUGGCCUCUGAUGUAAUGGGACCUUACAUUUACCCAGGUCCUUAUAAAGCAAAAUGCUCUUUGUUUGGUCGCCAAUGAUGUCAGUACAGACCAGCAAACUGGAGGACAGUAAUGCAGGCCUUUCACCUUUUAAAAUGGAGACUGUUGAACUAACUGCCUUUGGAUUUUGGUAACAAAGAGUGGACUAGAAUCUAAAGACAUUAGGAACAUAUCAGUGUCAAAAAACUUUAAAGCAUCUUUGAUAUGACUUAUGAAUGAUCAAAUGGAGUAUAAUCCAUUUGAAAAAUUGUAUGUGUAGACAAUAUAAGCUGGAAGCUUCAUUUAAUAGGGUGGUAAAUGAAAAGAAGUGCACAACGUGCUGACAUAAGAAAGAAUGUUCAUGAGAAGUUGGGUAGAAAUGAUCAUUUCCUCAGAUUUUUAGGGACUUACAAGCAUGGUGGUGCAUACCUAUAAUCCCAGCAAUUCAGGAGGCUGAGGCAAGUUCAAAGACAGAUUCAGCAAUUUAGCAAGGCCCUAAGCAAUUAGUAAGACCCUAUCUCAAAAGUAAAAAAUAAAAAGGGAUGGGAAUAUGGCUCGGUGGUUAAACCUGCUGGGUUCAAUCCCCAUUCCCCUUCCUGUAACAAAACAAAAAAACCCCACAAUUUUAGGGAAAGCUUCGUGGAAGAGAUGGCAAGCAGGACAUCAAAAGAUCUAUUUAUUAGCGAUGCAUGGAGACAGUAUACAGUGUCUAAAGGUGUAGUUUUGAAGCCUGAGUACUUAAUUAAAUCCUGGCUCUGUCACUUGUAAGCUGUAUGACUAUAGGCAGAUAACUUACUAUACUUCAGCUUUCUGAGCCAUUAAAAAGGGAGUCGUCACAUAGCUUUGUAAGUUAAUAAAAUAAAUAUAAAACAUUUAGCAUAGUAUCUUGCCAUUAGGGUUAAAAUAUUCCACAAAUGACCAUUCACAUACCGAGCAUCCUCUCAAGCCUUUCAAUUCCUUAUUAGACUGCUAUUCCUGCCUCAGGCCUUUCACUGUAAAAUAAUGAGGCUAGUCUACAUGGAUAAUUCAGGACUUUAGAGAUGUCAUGGACCAGUCAAUAUAAUGCAAUACAGGGUAGCAUUUUUUUAUUUUGCCAAUUAGAUUUUUAAAAAUGAAGUCUGCCACUUAAUAUCACCAGCAUUUUACUUCAAUAAUAUUAAAACACUCUGUGUGUGUAUGUUGCUGGGGAUUGAAACUGGGGCCUUGCACAUAUUGAGCUUUACCAAUUUACCCCCAGCCUUUUUUAAAAGUUGGAAGACAAUAGGGAUGUUAGCUUAGUAGUAGAGACUUAUCUAGCAUGUGUGAGGACCGAGAUUGGAUUCCCAGAAACUUGGAGGUGGGGGUGGGUAAGGCCACCACUUCAUUUUUCUCGUUUCUCCAUGGACUGUUAUAAACUUGAUCCUUGAUCAUAAACCAACACUAAAGACUGUAUUAUUGCAAAUUUAUUUCUUAAACAUUAGAUUAGGGAUAUAGCUCAGUGAUAGAGUGCUUGCCUAGUGUGCAGGAGACCCUAGGUUCAAUACCCCCCCACACACUCACACACAAAUUAGUGAUAUAUUGUGAAUCAAAUUUCAUUUAGAUGAGGUAUUCAAAUGAGCAACUCAGUUGGUCCAAAAGUAGAUCAUGGGCUAAGAAUCAAAAUCUUUCAACCAUAUCUUGGUUAAAUGGAGAUUCUAAAGUAAUUCUAUUUUGUGGUACUGAAAAGUAAAACUGAAAAAAUCCUUUGAAGCUUAAGGAUACAUUCAAUAUGCUUGGAAAAGCAGAGAAGAAGCAGGUGAUUCCUAGCUUAUGGAACAGGAUGCUAGACUGAGACAUAAGUGAAGCUCUGCUCUGCACUUAGUGAUCAAAAGCAAAAGUUGCAUUUCCGUAACUAUGGUCAUUUUAUUUUACCUAGAUUCAACUAGUUUUUCACAAUCAUGACUAAGUCUGUGAAUAGAAAGAAAAACUGAAUGCAAGAGGCUGAGUGUUUUGCUUUGCACGGACAGAAUAAACUCAUUUUAAUGUUUUUGCCCAAUGAUGCAAGACAGUAAAAGUUUGGUUUGAGAGCUAGAUUGUGCAUUGCAGUGGGUGAACACUCCCAUUUCCAGUCCUUACAGAAAUCACACACACACACACACACACACACACACACCCUCUGGGAGCAUCAGUCUUAUCAUUUAGCAAGUUCUUGUUCUAAAACAUCCCCAGAUGAAGUGGCCAGAAUGACAUUUCUACUUUACUCGUACAAGUUUUAAUUCAUUUAAAGAGAGGAUGCUCCUAGAACAUUUCAGUAAAGGAAGGUAGAAUAGGAUAUGAGAAGAGGAAAAGGGAGUAGAAAGGCAAACAUACAAUUUGUAUGUUCAUACUAAACCCAUCAUCUUUCUAGUCAAUUUUAUAGCUGGAAAGAACUAUUGAGAAAUUUGGGGCCUAUGGGUUAAGUGAUCUGUCCAAGUAGCCUCAGUAAGUUAAUGGCAGAGCUAAAAUUCUACAGGUCUUUUGUAAUCCAGUCUACUUUUUGACCUCCACGCCAAUGGUUCUCACCAUGACUACACAUAAGAAUUACCCGGAGCUUUAAAAAAUUCCCAUGCCCAAACCAUUGUCCAGACUAAUGGAAUUAGAAUCUUGGGGUGGGGAGGCUAAGGUAUCAGUAUUUUUUAAAGUUUUAAUUAAAAGUCAUAGUUAAGAACCACUGUCCCAGAUCAUAGUGGUUCCAAAGAGAAGAAAGGCAGAGGGAAGGAGGACUCUGUGAAUAAGUUUAUUAGGCCCAUCUAGCAAGUCCUUUGGCACCUGCCACAAAUCCUAGGCAAAGUUCAUAUUUGCUCACUGUGACCAUCAUUACAACCACCACUGAUCACACAGUACUACAGAAUAGAAC
rnacentral:lncRNA from 1 species